UGUACAUUUCGCGAGCUUUCAGCCGGCCACGCAAGAUCCAAAAGCCUUUGGCACAAAUCGCUUUCCUUUUUGGCCGGAUGUUGCUCAAACACCUGAGUUGUGAGCUCUACAGCGGGCCGCUGUGUGCAACAUUUUUGGUACACCUGCCUGGACUUUGAUCGCGAACAUCCUCAUUGGGGAAUACCCGGAUGAGUAUAAUAAAACAGAAAACUACGUUAACACUCAACAGUUUUGCAAUAACUUUGUAGUUAGAUUUGAGUCUCUCUGAAUUACGUACAAUCAGUUUGUAUAUAGUUAAAAUUGAUAGUGGGUGGCAUAAGUGUGAUUGACUAGACUUUGAAGGCUAAACAUUGGUAACAGAGCCAAAAACAAACUUACAUAAAUUAAAAGACAAACACCGAAACUUUUAUAGUCAUUCCAAUCAUUAGUGACAUUGUAAUGGACGCUUUGGAGGAAAAUAAAACAACUACGUGUAAGUUAUAGUUUAAUGAUGAAAAACGGGUGUACAAUGAUGGUCAGCAGCCUAAAAAUAAUAUUUCCCUGCUACCUUACAUAUUUUAUUUGGAAAAAUUAGCAUAAUUCUGUUUACCCACUUUUGGGCCAUUCACUCAUUGUUAAGUCAUCUUAAAGCUAUGCACCCCCUUGGUGCUUGUGUGUAAUGUUGAUGAUUUUUUUGUGUGUACGAUUCUGCUCAAAAAUCAUUCUUUAUUAGACAAAGUCUCCAUCUUUAAUUUUAAUGAAUGUUAUUUUGUAUUUUUUGUUGGUCUAUUGUAAUCAUAUUAUCAGAACUUUUUCCAUGGGGCAAAUCAAAGGUGGACUUUGUAUUCUUUUUUACACAGGAAGGUAACUUUCAUCGAGGAAGAUGUCAAAACGUGUUCAGAUCUAUUCUGGUAUUUUGCUUGUCUAAUUAUGGUGGUAGAAUCUUAAAGUGUGUACUUGAUAGUUUAUCUCAACUAUUAGAUUGAAGAAGUCGUCAUUAUUGUCUCCUUAUUCCAUCAUUACUUGAAUGUGCACGCAUAUACAUGAAUAGUCUAUGAAAUGUAAGCGUGUUCGGAGAAAAGAAUUGUACCUUAGCUUUAUGGUAUACGGCAAAUCGGGUCCACGUUCAAUAAACAUGUCGUCACUUGUGAGUAACGAAAA